UACGUAGGGGGCUAGCGUUGUCCGGAAUCAUUGGGCGUAAAGCGCGCGUAGGCGGUCAGGUAAGUCCGGUGUGAAAGUCAAAGGCUCAACCUUUGAAUGCCGCUGGAUACUGCCUGACUUGAGUCCGGAAGGGGCGAGUGGAAUUCCGUGGUGUAGCGGUGAAAGUGCGCAGAUAUCAGGAGGAACACCAAUGGCGAAGGCAGCUCGCUGGAACGGUACUGACGCUGAGGCGACGAAAGCGUGGGGAGCGAACAGG
rnacentral:rRNA from 1 species